AUGAGGAGAGAUCAGCUGCCGCAGGUGAGAGACAGACUGACCCACACGGAGGUGCUGAACCGACGUCUGAAGGAGGAUAUCAAUUUUAUGAGGAAACGCGGGCCGCUCGUGCACGAGAGACUCCAGCUGGAAAGUGAAAUCAUCAAGCAGGUCCAAACAGCACAAAGUGAGGCCAGUGAGACGUUUUCAAACAUCUCUCAGAAGCUAAAGAGUCUUCAGGAGAAGUUUAAAAAUGAGGAAUUCAGAGCAGACCUUAGGAAAGGAGAAAUGAACAAAGAAAUGGAAACGAUCAGAAAUCAUCUGAGUGACAAGCAGUCAGAACAUUAA
rnacentral:lncRNA from 1 species